rnacentral:rRNA from 1 species
GACGAACGCUGGCGGCGUGCUUAACACAUGCAAGUCGAGCGGUAAGGCCCUUUCGGGGGUACACGAGCGGCGAACGGGUGAGUAACACGUGGGUGACCUGCCCUCAGCUCUGGGAUAAGCCUGGGAAACCGGGUCUAAUACUGGAUAUGACUCCAUGACGCAUGUUGUGGGGUGGAAAGCCUUGUGCGGCUGAGGAUGGGCCCGCGGCCUAUCAGCUUGUUGGUGGGGUGAUGGCCUACCAAGGCGACGACGGGUAGCCGGCCUGAGAGGGCGACCGGCCACACUGGGACUGAGACACGGGCCCAGACUCCUACGGGAGGCAGCAGUGGGGAAUCUUGCGCAAUGGGCGAAAGCCUGACGCAGCGA